CCUACGGGAGGCAGCAGUGGGGAAUAUUGCACAAUGGGGGAAACCCUGAUGCAGCGAUGCCGCGUGGAGGAAGAAGGUUUUCGGAUUGUAAACUCCUUUUAUCAGGGACGAUAAUGACGGUACCUGAAGAAAAAGCUCCGGCUAACUACGUGCCAGCAGCCGCGGUAAUACGUAGGGAGCGAGCGUUGUCCGGAAUUACUGGGUGUAAAGGGAGCGUAGGCGGGACGGCAAGUCAGGUGUGAAAACUGAGGGCUCAACUUUCAGACUGCAUUUGAAACUGAUGUUCUUGAGUGAAGUAGAGGUAAGCGGAAUUCCGAGUGGAGCGGGGAAAUGCGUAGAUAUUAGGAGGAACAUCGGGGGCGAAGGCGGGUUACUGGACAUUAACUGACGGUGAGGCACGAAGGCCAGGGGAGCGAAAGGGAUUAGAUACCCGAGUAGUC
rnacentral:rRNA from 1 species